rnacentral:pre_miRNA from 1 species
GAUGGUGCUUCUUCUUUUCCCUGUUUAUUGAUUGAGAUAUGAUUUAGAACCUCAAUCAUUAAAGAGGGGAAAGAAGAAGCAUAUUGU